UAUAUAUAUAUAGAGAGAGAGAGAGAGAGUGAGAGUGAGAGAGAGUUGAGCUAGAAUACUCUCAAAAGCACUAAGAUGGUGGUGCUUUUGAGUUUUUAGCCAUUGGAUGGAGAGAUGUAAGGUUGGGAUGAUGGUGGUAGGCGGUGGUAGGUGGAAUAGUGUUUAAUCCAAGGGCUAUUAGUAAUCAAGGAGUAGGUGGUGGUAGGUUGGAUGAGUGGGUGGAAUAGUGUUUAAUCCAAGGGCUAUUAGUAAUCAAGGAGUAGGUGGUGGUAGGUUGGAUGAGUGGGUGGAAUAGUGUUUAAUCCAACCUCUUGGUUCUUCUAAAAGUAUUCUAACUCAAUUCUAUAUAUAUAUAUAUAGAGAGAGAGAGAGAGAGAGAGAGUAGGACUGCUGUGCUCUCAGGAGCACGGCGGCCUCCGUGCUCCUGAGCCGUUUUCGAUGAUAGAAUUUCCGAAUCGACGAUCGGCUCCGUUAGACUUGAUCUAGCGUAUUUGAAGUUUUUAGAAAAUAAUUUUUGCGAUUUUUCGAUAUCAUUACCUAGUAAUCGAAAGGAUUCAAAAUCAAUAAUUUUAACGGCUAAAAAUAAAAAUCCUAUAAAAAGUGGUAAUAUAGCACUAAAAUUUUCGAUCAGAAAUAUUGAUCUUGCUGUAUAUAUUUUAAAGAAUUUUGUAUCAAAAUUUCAUCUGAUUUGAAUACUUCUAUACUGUUAAACUUGAAAACGGCAGAUAUCAACCAUUAAAAAUUAUUGAUUUUGAAUCCUUUCGAUCAC
rnacentral:lncRNA from 1 species